rnacentral:rRNA from 1 species
UACGUAGGGUGCGAGCGUUAAUCGGAAUUACUGGGCGUAAAGUGUGCGCAGGCGGCCGCGCAAGUCGAGUGUGAAAGCCCCGAGCUUAACUUGGGAAUUGCGCUUGUGACUGGCGAGCUGGAGUGUGGCAGAGGGAGGUGGAAUUCCACGUGUAGCAGUGAAAUGCGUAGAGAUGUGGAGGAACACCGAUGGCGAAGGCAGCCUCCUGGGCCAGCACUGACGCUCAUGCACGAAAGCGUGGGGAGCAAACAGG